AACAUAUCAAGUGGUAAAAUAGAAGAGAGAAAUAGAUAUAACGAUAUAA
rnacentral:guide_RNA from 1 species